ACUCCUACGGGAGGCAGCAGUGGGGAAUAUUGCACAAUGGGCGCAAGCCUGAUGCAGCCAUGCCGCGUGUGUGAAGAAGGCCUUCGGUUGUAAAGCACUUUCAGUCGUGAGGAAGGUAGUGUAGUUAAUAGCUGCAUUAUUUGUACGUUAGCGACAGAAGAAGCACCGGCUAACUCCGUGCCAGCAGCCGCGGUAAUACGGAGGGUGCGAGCGUUAAUCGGAAUUACUGGGCGUAAAGCGCAUGCAGGUGGUUUGUUAAGUCAGAUGUGAAAGCCCGGGGCUCAACCUCGGAAUAGCAUUUGAAACUGGCAGACUAGAGUACUGUAGAGGGGGUAGAAUUUCAGGUGUAGCGGUGAAAUGCGUAGAGAUCUGAAGGAAUACCGGUGGCGAAGGCGGCCCCCUGGACAGAUACUGACACUCAGAUGCGAAAGCGUGGGGAG
rnacentral:rRNA from 1 species